rnacentral:misc_RNA from 1 species
AAGUCGUAACAAGGUUUCCGUAGGUGAACCUGUGGAAGGAUCAUUAAAAAUUGCAAGCCGGCGAGAGCCGCGCACCGCAAACCAUGUGAAAACACCCGUUGCUUCGGCGGCUGGCCCGCAAGGGCCGUCAGCCCGCCGCGAGCUCACGAAAACUCUUUCUGUAAACUUUCAGUCAGACACGAUAAAGUAAAUCGUUAAAA